rnacentral:rRNA from 1 species
UACGGGGGGGGCAAGCGUUGUUCGGAAUUACUGGGCGUAAAGGGCUCGUAGGUGGCCAACUAAGUCAGACGUGAAAUCCCCAGGCUCAACUUGGGAACUGCGUCUGAUACUGGAUGGCUUGAAUUCGGGAGAGGGAUGCAGAAUUCCAGGUGUAGCGGCGAAAUGCGUAGAUAUCUGGAGGAACACCGGUGGCGAAGGCGGCAUCCUGGACCGAGAUUGACGCUGAGGCGCGAAAGCCAGGGGAGCAAACGGG